GAAGAACGAAGUCAUUCAAAAUCCUACAAGAAACUGAAGAAGGAAAUAAAAGAAGUUCGUAAGGAUUUAUCCACACUGACUUCUAUAGUCUGUAGGAUGGAUGACACAAUCACAAAGCAGUCAUUGGAGCUGUAUGAAAUGAAGCAGAUGCUGGAGAGAUUGGUCCAGGGAACAUCAAGAGGAACGUGGUAGUGAUAUAAGCAUAGACGGUAGGGAUGCAGACUUGCUAAUGACUAUAAGAGAUAUAUCGGAUAGUCUAAGUCAUCAAAUUCAGAAAGAAUCAGACCUGCCACAGAUGAUUACUACCCUUCCAUAUGUGAGCCAACCUCUUGCACUUUGUGAAUUGGCUCCAAUGGAUCAAACUGUACAAAUUGUAAAUGAAGAAUCUCAACUGGAAACAACAAAAAAACAGGUUGAGAUGAAAAAAAAUGAUGAAGCAGUUACUUUGGUUGAAAAAGAACCAGUAACUGUGCCUGAUAAAGAUGUGGAAGAAAAACCAAUAAAGAGAAG